CUAAGUUACUAAGGGCGUACGGUGGAUGCCUUGGCACUGGCAGGCGAUGAAGGACGUGGCUACCUGCGAUAAGCCCCGGUAAGAUGGUAACAAUCUUGGACCCGGGGAUUUCCGAAUCGGGCAACCGAAUACAGGUAAUGCUGUAUUACAAAGUGCGAACGGAGGGAACUGAAAUAUCUAAGUACCUCCAGGAAUAGAAAACAAAAGUGAUUUCCCAAGUAGCGACGAGCGAAACGGAAACAGCCUAAACCUUCUGACGUGUUAAAGAAUGCAAUCGUUGCGUCAGGGGUGUCACGGGACUUUUAGCCGGAUUUGCAUUACGGCAAAGAGUUACAAAUCUUAAGGAUAACAGAAUCUUCUGGAAAGUUGAACCACAGAAAGUGAAAGUCUUGUAUGUGAAAUCUUUAAGACUCUUGAAAGUAUCCCAAGUACUGCGGAGCACGUGAAAUUCUGCAGGAAUUCGUCGGAACCAUCCGAUAAGGCUAAAUACUCGCCAGUGACCGAUAGUGAACAAGUACUGUGAAGGAAAGGUGAAAAGUACUCCUAACAGGAGAGUGAAAUAGUACCUGAAACCGUAUGCCUACAAACGGUAGUAGUCUUGUAAGGGAUUCGUCCCUUAUGAAGAUGACUGCGUGCCUUUUGCUUAAUGAUCCAACGAGUUACUCGUAUGUUGUCGGGUAAGAUUUUAAGAAUCGUACCCUAAGCGAAAGCGAGUCCUAAUAGGGCGACAAAUGAUAACAUGCGGUAGACGCGAAACUGUGUGAUCUACCCUUGACCAGGAUGAAGUACCGGUAAAACGGUAUGGAGGUCCGAACCAGUGUGGGUUGAAAACCGCUUGGAUGAGUUGAGGGUAGGAGCGAAAGACCAAUCAAACUCAGAAAUAGCUCGUACUCCCCGAAAUAGCUUUAGGGCUAGCCUCGGAUAAGAGUAUGCAGGAGGUAGAGCACUAAUUGGGCUAGGGCUGUCACAACGGUACCAAACCCAGAUAAACUCCGAAUUCCUGUCAUAUGUUCUCCGGGAGUCAGGCAGUGGGGGAUAAGCUUCAUUGCCAAAAGGGAAAUAACCCAGACCACCUCUUAAGGCCCCCAAGUCUAUGUUAACAGACUAAGGAUGUUGAGUUGCUCAGACAACUAGGAUGUUGGCUUAGAAGCAGCCAUUCAUUUAAAGAGUGCGUAAUAGCUCACUAGUCAAGCGACUCAGCGCCGAUAAUAAUCGGGACUAAACAUAGCGCCGAAAUAGUGGUACCGCUUUGCGGUAGGUAGGGGAGCAUUCUGUAUGCGACUGAAGGUUAGGCGUGAGCCCGGCUGGAGCGUACAGAAAAGAAAAUGUUGGAAUGAGUAACGAUAAUGAAGAUGAAAAUUCUUCACACCGAAAGUCUAAGGUUUCCUGAGCAAUGUUCAUCAUCUCAGGGUUAGUCGGUCCCUAAGCUGAGGCCAAACGGCGUAGGUAAUGGGAAACAGGUUAAAUAUUCCUGUACCAUCGACAUUUAAGCAAGAAUGACGCAGGAGUGAAAGGGAAGCCACCUGUUGGAUUAGGUGGUCUAAGGUCGUAGGGAAACCGAAAGCCGAACGGGAUGGCGCAAGCCUACAAACUUCCCCUAAUCAGGCUGCCAAGAAAAGUUCUUGUGUAUACUAAGAUGACCGUACCGCAAACCGACACAGGUAGACGAGAUGAGUAUUCUAAGGUGCUCGUGUGAGCCGUGGUCAAGGAACUCGGCAAAUUAACCCCGUAACUUCGGGAUAAGGGGUGCCUCGUGAGAGGCCGCAGAGAAAUGGACCAAGCGACUGUUUAACAAAAACACAUGUCUAUGCAAAUCCUUUAAGGAGAAGUAUAUGGACUGACACCUGCCCGGUGCUGGAAGGUUAAGAGGAGAGGUUAGCGUAAGCGAAGCUUUGAAUCGAAGCCCCAGUAAACGGCGGCCGUAACUAUAACGGUCCUAAGGUAGCGAAAUUCCUUGUCGGGUAAGUUCCGACCUGCACGAAUGGUGUAACGAUUUGGUCUCUGUCUCGACCACGGGCUCGGUGAAAUUGUGGUACCGGUGAAGACGCCGGUUACCUGCAUAUGGACGAAAAGACCCCGUGCACCUUUACUGCACCUUAGCACUGGGUCUGGACAAAACAUGUGUAGAAUAGGUGGGAGACUUUGAAGCGGGUACGCUAGUAUCCGUGGAGUCGUAAUGUGAAAUACCACCCUUGUUUUGUUCGGAUUCUAACCCAGGUUUGUGGAAAACCGGGGACACUGCUAGGCGGGUAGUUUGACUGGGGCGGUCGCCUCCUAAAAAGUAACGGAGGCUUACAAAGGUACCCUCAGCAUGGUUGGUAAUCAUGCGUAGAGUGCAUAGGCAUAAGGGUGCUUAACUGCGAGACUUACAAGUCGAGCAGAUGCGAAAGCAGGUCUAAGUGAUCCGACGGUUGUGUGUGGAAACGCCGUCGCUCAAAGGAUAAAAGGUACGCCGGGGAUAACAGGCUGAUCUCCCCCAAGAGUUCACAUCGACGGGGAGGUUUGGCACCUCGAUGUCGGCUCAUCGCAUCCUGGGGCUGGAGAAGGUCCCAAGGGUUUGGCUGUUCGCCAAUUAAAGCGGUACGUGAGCUGGGUUCAGAACGUCGUGAGACAGUUCGGUCUCUAUCCUAUGCAGGCGCAGGACAAUUGAGAAGGCUCGCUCUUAGUACGAGAGGACCGGAGUGAACUGACCAAUGGUGUACCAGUUGUCACGCCAGUGGCACCGCUGGGUAGCUAUGUCGGGUUGAGAUAAGUGCUGAAAGCAUCUAAGCACGAAACUCGCUUCAAGAUUAAUUGUCCCUUCUUCGGAAAUAAGACUCCAGAAAGAUGAUCUGGUUGAUAGGCUACAGGUGUAAGCAUAGUAAUAUGUUCAGCCAAGUAGUACUAAUAAGUCGAAUGACUUGCCAUU
rnacentral:rRNA from 1 species